GCGGUGGAUGAUGUGGUUUAAUUCGAUGCAACGCGAAAACCUUACCCACCUUUGACAUGUACGGAAGCCUUUAGAGAUAGAGGCGUGCUCGAAAGAGAGCCGUAACACAGGUGCUGCAUGGCUGUCGUCAGCUCGUGUCGUGAGAUGUUGGGUUAAGUCCCGCAACGAGCGCAACCCUUGUCAUUAGUUGCUACAUUCAGUUGGGCACUCUAAUGAGACUGCCGGUGGCAAGCCGGAGGAAGGUGGGGAUGACGUCAAGUCCUCAUGGCCCUUAUAGGUGGGGCUACACACGUCAUACAAUGGCUGGUACAAAGGGUUGCCAACCCGCGAGGGGGAGCUAAUCCCAUAAAACCAGUCGUAGUCCGGAUCGUAGUCUGCAACUCGACUACGUGAAGUCGGAAUCGCUAGUAAUCGUGGAUCAGAAUGUCACGGUGAAUACGUUCCCGGGUCUU
rnacentral:rRNA from 1 species